rnacentral:lncRNA from 1 species
UCAGAAUAUUACCCCUGUUAAUGAAUCAGUGGUUUCUUCAGCAAGAGCAGUAAAUGUGCUUUCAGUUACCGGAGCAAAUUUAUCUUUGGGUUCCUUUCCAGUGACCUCAGCCUCUGCUUCAGCUGGGGCACAACCUCCUGUUUUAGUCAGUGGAAAUGAUACCUCUUCAAGAAUUAUGCCUAUUUUGUCAAAUAGACUUUGCUCAUCAAGUCUCGGAAACACUGUGGCUAUAUCAACUGUGAAAACAGGACACCUUGCAUCAUCUGUUCUGAUUUCAACUACACAACCAGUAGUGUCUCCUAAAUGUUUAACAUCAGCUUUGCAAAUUCCUGUUACGGUUGCCUUACCUACACCUGCGACUACAUCCCCUAAAAUAAUAAACACAGUUCCACAUUCGGCAGCAGUACCAGGAGCCACACGUUCUGUAUCUAUUUCUAAAAGACAAUCUCGGACUUCACUCCAGUUCCAUUCACCAGGGAUUUCAACUACAGUGCCAACAAAUGUAAACACAAAUAAACCUCAAACUGAAUUGUCGUCCCUUUCAACAAGUCCAGUGAGCUUUCUCUUAAGUGUGCCAAGCUGCCAUCCAACUUUCUUGAGCAUUUUUUCUCAUGGGAAAUGAUCAAGUUUUGAUAGCAGAAAGUGCUUCUUUCCAAGACUUUCUCGAGGCCAUCUUCCUGUAGGCGUCAUGCUUCUGAUGUUACACAGCUGAUAUUUUCAUAUGAGCUGCAUUUUUAGACUACAAAGAUGCUUACUCAGACUCAGCCCAAGUCUCCAUGUCCAUCACCUGGGACACUGUCUGAGGAACUCUGUGAGGAGAGCCUUUUCCACAGAGAAAUGAGAGCACCCUCAGUAUCGCUCUGAAGACUUGAUGAAGGUUUGCUGACAAGAAAGGGCUUACUCACUGUACACAGCCCUUCAAUAACUCCUAC